CCUGAUGCAGCGACGCCGCGUGAGGGAGUGACGGCCUUCGGUUGUAACCUCUUCAGCAGGGAAGAAGCGAAAGUGACGGUACCUGCAGAAGAAGCGCCGGCUAACUACGUGCCAGCAGCCGCGGUAAUACGUAGGGCGCAAGCGUUGUCCGGAAUUAUUGGGCGUAAAGAGCUCGUAGGCGGCUUGUCACGUCGGGUGUGAAAGCCCGGGGCUUAACCCCGGGUCUGCAUUCGAUACGGGCUAGCUAGAGUGUGGUAGGGGAGAUCGGAAUUCCUGGUGUAGCGGUGAAAUGCGCAGAUAUCAGGAGGAACACCGGUGGCGAAGGCGGAUCUCUGGGCCAUUACUGACGCUGAGGAGCGAAAGCGUGGGGAGCGAACAGGAUUAGAUACCCUGGUAGUCCACGCCGUAAACGGUGGGAACUAGGUGUUGGCGACAUUCCACGUCGUCGGUGCCGCAGCUAACGCAUUAAGUUCCCCGCCUGGGGAGUACGGCCGCAAGGCUA
rnacentral:rRNA from 1 species